rnacentral:rRNA from 1 species
GACAGAGGUGCCAAGCGUUAGGCGGAAUCACUGGGCUUAAAGCGUGUGUAGGUGGAUGCCUAAGUACCUUGUGAAAUCCCACGGCUUAACCGUGGAACUGCUUGGUAUACUGGGUGUCUUGAGCCAACUAGGGGCAGUCGGAACAAACGGUGGAGCGGUGAAAUGCGUAGAUAUCGUUUGGAACGCCAAUGGUGAAAACAGACUGCUGGGGUUGUGCUGACACUGAGACACGAAAGCCAGGGGAGCGAACGGG